rnacentral:rRNA from 1 species
UACGAAGGGGGCUAGCGUUGUUCGGAAUUACUGGGCGUAAAGCGCACGUAGGCGGAUCUUUAAGUCAGGGGUGAAAUCCCGAGGCUCAACCUCGGAACUGCCUUUGAUACUGGGGAUCUCGAGUCCGGGAGAGGUGAGUGGAACUGCGAGUGUAGAGGUGAAAUUCGUAGAUAUUCGCAAGAACACCAGUGGCGAAGGCGGCUCACUGGCCCGGAACUGACGCUGAGGUGCGAAAGCGUGGGGAGCAAACAGG